rnacentral:lncRNA from 1 species
GGAUGACAACCGGUACCAUGAAGAUAUUUUCGGAGUCACCCUGCGCACGUAUGAAGUGACCAACCGCCUUAGAUCUGAAUCCAUUGCCUUCAUUGAGGAGAGCAAAAAAGACACAGAUGAGGUUUUCAGCUCCUAACUGGACCCUCUUGCUCAGAUGGAUGGCAGGGUUGCCGCCCCACGCCCUCGGCCGGGGUGGCUACAGGUUUUGUAAGCUCGGACACUGCUGAACCUUCCCUUUGGGCCCCUUCCCCCGUGGCCCCUGCUCUGCCUCUCGUCCUGUCACCGUGUCCUGGUCCUCCGCUCCUGGGUUCUCACUUCUCAGUGUGUCUCUCUCACCCUUUUGGGUUUUCUCCUUGAGUUUUCCUGCUGCAAUGCGAUGCCUUUAUAAUCCGCAGUGGCUUUUACAAAACUGUUUCCCUCUCUCUCUCUCUCUCUUUCUGACAAGGGCACAUCCCCAGUGCAUGAAACCACUGGAACAUGGCUGUGGCUUGUGUUAGGGUGUCUACUGGGGUUCACCCUGGAGAGGCUGCAGGGACCAGAUGCAAGAGUUUUCUGAACUAGUUCCUCCGCCGCUGUUCAAACCCCCGCCCCCCAACCCCGUCCUUUUUUUACAAUGGUGUUCUGGACAUGUGUGUAUGUGCGUGUGAUGGGCCUGGGUCUCCCUCUGUCCUCUUGCCUGAGCAGACAUGCCGCCUGCACACCCUCAGUGCCAAGAAAUUUGCCCCAGCCCAUACUGAGGCCUCAUGUAUCCAUAAGUAAGGGUCUGUGCUAGUACCCAUAAUAGUCCUGGUUAUAAAAGAGCAGGGCGUGGAGGUGGGGUGUGAUGAGAGGAAGAUAUUCAGUGAAAGAGGGAGUCACAGAAUUAGAUGCAUCCAGAUACUGGUACCAGUUAGCGGAGCCCUUACUGGGAGAUGAACCCAUCUGCUCCCCAGCCCCACCCCACCUCAGCCAGGAUCACCUGACCUGGCCCUCCCCAGACAGUCCCACCCACAAGACGGGAAACAGUGUUGUCCAAGGGAAUGAGCUGGAAAUAAGUGUCUUCCCAUCUUUGCCACUGGAUGACAUUGGACAACGUCACCUGUCCUUCAUUUCCUGUAAUUGUAAUGUUAUGAAGCGGAAAAGGAUGGAUAGAUCGAACUUUAAACUUGUGGAGAUUGGAAACAAUAUCAAGGAAGGGCAUUGUUGUUGUUGUUUUAUUUCCCUAAAUGGGGCUUGCCGUUUCAGCCCUGGAAGUAAAAUACCAGAAGUCAGUAAAAGCAGAUGAGGCUGAAGAAGGAGACCAUCACGAGGCGCCUGCCGACAGCUGGGGUGGGGAGAACCUGCCACCAUGCUUUCGGUCUUCAAAAAGAGAUUCCCCCAGGUUUUUAACCUGAUAAAAGAAUUUUGACGAAUAAAUUAUCCUCAACGCAGAUUUUAAAAACAGGCAGUAAAGUCUUUUGGCAAGAAUCGGGACAGGUACAAUUGCUCCCAGUCGGACAAUCUGCUGAGUUCAUCUUCUCAGAGGAAAUGGGGUGGAAGUGUCCCUCUCUACCCUGAAGUGCUCAAAAUCAAUGGUAAGCAGCGCCCAGAGAGAGCCGGGAAACCCCACUGACCCCCAGCAACUGCCUCCCAGGCGUUGAAAGGAAGCCAUCAGCCAGUUCCGGUCUUCCGUCUGGUUUUGUUUCGUCUUAUGCUGUAGAAAGGCAGCCUUUUCUUUGGACGCAGCACACAGGCAUUGCUUUCUUGAUGCUUGGUGUGGGGGUCUGCCAAAGGGAGAGGGCUCUGUCCCUCCCCAGAAGGGCCCUAGAUCCGAGGUGCCAAAAAGGUGUCCCCAGGAAGGGACAACCUCAGAGACUCUUAAAGACAAAGGGGAAGCUCUGUCUCGGCUUUUUCCACCUUCCCUGGCAGCCCCCGCUGGUGUCCCAUCCAUGGGACACAGAGUUCGACUUCGUGCCGGUUUUGAUUUCCCUGCCUGACUUUAAUCCUAUUCACUCCUGCUCGGGCUUCCGUGGCACAGAAACCAAGCACUCAGCAUGCUCGGCCACCCCUCUCUGACCUGGAGGGAAGCCUGUUCAAAACCAUUUCUUUCCUGCAAACGUGAUUCUGGCUUCUAGUAGCUGUCCUCCCAAGGGCUUCCUGUCCAACCCUCUGAGCCUUUCACAGAUACCUCCUAGGAUGUCACUAACUCCCCAGGGGCUGAACUGCUGUGUCCAACCUCCAUCCUAGAAGAAUUAGAGCACCCCUCUCCAAAUCAAGCUUCACACAUGAAUGCUUUUCCAUCGCCAAAGAAAUAUUUAUGAGCACUUACUCCAUACUAGGCACUUUCUCACUUCUCCCUGCCCUUCUAGUAGCAGACAAGCAAAGGAAAACAUCAUCUUGUUUUAUCAGGAAGUCUAAGUGAUUACGUAACCAGGAUUCAUCGUUCUUCCCAAGAAUGAUUGUUUUGUUUUUGUAAGAAAAUACCUUUUAACCCCCAACACAAGCUGCUUCAUAACUCCUGGCUGAGAGACAGGAAGCUAGUCUGAUGGGUUUCUCUCAUUCACCAGAAUCUCUGAUACCAAAAGCCUCCCGUUAAAAAGCCUAUCAAGGAGUUCCCGUUGUGGCUCAGCGGUUAAUGAACCUGA